AAGAUUCUAGUAAAACCAUUACAUUACCUUGUCAAGGUAAAAUUGUGGGUUAAACUCCCACGAAUCUUA
rnacentral:tRNA from 1 species